UAAUUUUAGAAUAAUUAAUAUUAAAAAUUAAAAUACAAAAAUUAUAAUUUACCAAAUUGUACAUGAAAAAAAUUAUAGUUGCACUAAUUAAAAAUUAAUUAAUACUUUAAAGUUUAAACCAAAAAAAGUUCAUAUACCACAUUACCCAAAUACAUUACUAUAACUCAAAUUCAACCAAAAUUAAACUCAUCAUCACCCUUUAAACUUUCAAGAUCUAAAGCUGUAAUCAAAUGAAUCACAUGAUUGAGCUCAUAAGUCUCAGACUCUCAUGAAUAAAUUUAAAAAAGUAGUAGGAGAAAAAACCCAACUUGAUCUUAAAGCCAGAAACAACGAAUCAAACUCACUCUAAUCCAUCUUUUCUUUCGAUCUAUCAUUCAUCUCUUCAUAACUAGUUAGGGUUGUUAAACCCACUUUUUUCAACUUCCAUAUAUAGCUGCAAGGCCUUCUUUUGCAUCAGUUUCAACAUAUUCAAAAACCCAUUAUUCCUAGAAGGAGUUAAACUCUGUUGCAACCCAAGAAGCACAACAAAAUCGGGCGAUGAAGCCAGUGAUUUGAGUGAAUUCUCUUUAGCAAUCUGGGCUUUUCGUGCGGAUUUGGACUGCUCGAGCUAAAUUUAAGGCCUUGAGUCUUCGAGCGGCUUUAGAUUGGGAAGGAGCAGGGGAAGGGCGGUGGCGACGAAGAGUGGAGAGUGAUGGUGAUUUUGAGGUUUGUUUGGAAGUAGUGAAGAAUUUCUGGGGAUUUAGAGAGAGAAAAUUGAGGUUUCUGGGGUUUUGUUUGGGGGUUUUGAAAUUUGAGAUGUCUUAGGAGUGAAGAAUGAGGAGGGUUUGGUAGUGGUGAAGAAUAUGGGUGAUGCUACUGUUUGUUUUUCUCUGUUGCUUCCAUUUUCACCUGUUUGGAUCUGUGAUCUUUACUGUAAAGAGUGAGAAAUUAGUUCUUGCAAGGUUUCUUGGAGCUUUGGAGGGAGAUCUUCAAUGGGUUUAAGGGAAAUAGAGGGUGAGGAGGAGGAAGAAUAAGAGUGACGAGUGGCGGGUAUUCUUUGGAUAGAAAUUGAUCUGAAAAAGGAGAAAUUUGAGGUGGGUAAUGGAGGAAUUGGGGAGAUAAUUAGGGUUCUGAGUAUUGGGGAAUUAAUGGGGUGGAAGAUAGAUUGGGGGAAUUUUUAGCUGAAAAUAGGUGGAAUGAAUUGGAAAUCACCAUUUUUAUUUUGUACACGUCAGCAAAUGUUGCCACAUGUCAACCGCAUCAUAAAUAAAUUAACAUCCGUUUGUCAAUGUGACAGAUUCGUUAAUGAGAGGGGCACGUGUGACCUGAUUUUUAUAACGUUAAAGGUACUUUUGGAAAAAUAUAUAUUUUAGAGUGUAAGGUGCUGUUUGUUUACAU
rnacentral:lncRNA from 1 species